ACUAUUUGUAACCUCUCUGUAUUUCUUCAGAUUCUAUGCAAAUGAAGAGGGCAGUGUGCCAUGUCAACAGCGUCUGCUUCACUUUCACUGUACAUCCGGUCACAGUGUCAACACAGUGCCAAGAUCACAGAGAAACAUCCAUCAUUCUAAAAGCUACUGCAUCGUCAACACCGGCUGGCUUGGCAAGCAAGAGGGAGAGAGAGAAAGAGAUAAGAGAUAGAGAACUGGUAAUAUGAGAGCAUGAAAGCA